UGUGCCGCGCCUCCCGCCGCCUCCCUCACGCGGGGAUGGCGGGCGCUGCCGGCGGAAGGGAUGGGAAGGGGCUUCCCUUACAAAUCCCGGUGUCCCCCCGGAUAGCGAAAGGGGUGCAGCAGGAAACUCGGAGCGGCGGCUGGAACGGCGGAAGGGGUUAACCCGGGGCAGCAAGCAAGAGGCAGCGGAAACACCGCAGCUGUAGCUGGAGCCACGGGGCAUCCCGGCAGGCAAGGGUGCGGCAAGGUGCCAGUAAGGUCCCAGUUCAGUGGCUGCUCUCACGAGCAAAGGCUCACCCACAGCACAAGAAGCGGGGCAGGACUGAGCUCCGGCAGCGGCAGCAAGUUCCCCGCACCAAGCAGCAGCUCGACCGUCCCCCUCCGAAGCCGGGAGAGCAAGAGACCCAGGAGCUGUGCCUAGUCCCCUUUUCCCCAGCCCAAUUCUUGCUGUAUCUCUGCCCCUCCGAGAGAAACCCCCUACCCUGCACAGUAAAGCCAGCUGUACUCCUCCCCCUUCUAAGUAGUUAUUUCUUUUGUCUCUCUUUAAGUACUGAUCGUUAUUGUUUCUUAGCAGCAGAAAUGGGAGAAAAUUUCUUAAGAGGAAGAAAACAAAAGGAAGAAAUCCUAAAUCCCAAUAAUUUUGAAGCUCAUCUUCCACUUUUUUCUGUAGUCUUGUAUUUUUGGGAUGACUCUUUUGGAGUCAUCUGACCCAAAAAACUGUCCUGUAAAAGGAUCAGAUGGCAAAUUCAGUGUAAUACAGAGUCUUACUAAACACUGGGCUCAAGAUGUUCUGUAAGUUUGUAGUGUUUUGAAAAGCUUGUAUAAUGAAAUAAAACAUGCGUCUCUUUUCCAAUGCCCUACUUCAUUAGUACUUGUUUGUAUGCAAUCUUCUUGUACAGAGGAUUAAAAUAUUUCACAAUUU